rnacentral:rRNA from 1 species
UACGUAGGGUGCGAGCGUUGUCCGGAUUUAUUGGGCGUAAAGAGCUCGUAGGCGGUUUGUCGCGUCGGCCGUGAAAUCUCCACGCUUAACGUGGAGCGUGCGGUCGAUACGGGCAGACUUGAGUUCGGUAGGGGAGACUGGAAUUCCUGGUGUAGCGGUGAAAUGCGCAGAUAUCAGGAGGAACACCGGUGGCGAAGGCGGGUCUCUGGACGGUUUCUGACACUAAGACUCGAAAGCGUGGGGAGCAAACAGG